rnacentral:lncRNA from 1 species
GGGUCUCCCUAUGUUGCCGCCCAGGCUGGUCUCAAAUUCCUAUGCUCAAAUGAUCCUCCUGCCUUGGCCUCCCAAAGUGCUGGGAUUAUAGGCAUCAGCCACUGUGCUUGGCCUAGCCUAGCAUUCUCUAAACAGGUGGUUAGAAGCGGUGGAUACCAGGCUUCUGACGAUCAAAUUGUAAAAAAAGGGGUCAGGUGUUAUCUCCAGACUGUGGAAUUAGAUUGUAGUAGAAUAUAUUUUACCUACAAACAUUUUGACCUCACCCAAGAGUAAGGCUCUCUUUUUUUUCUUUUUUAAUGAAAAAAGAAAGGAGAAUAUUUGCUAUCUUAUCUUAAAAAAAUAGAUCCUUAGGUGAUUACAAUUUUAAAAUAAGAAUUGAGAGCCCUUACUAUGCACAGUCCUUUAAGUUCAUAAAGCUUGAUCCCAACUCUGGGAGAUGGGGCAGGACAGGUGUUAAUGUCCCUGCCUUUAGCAGAUGAAGAAACCAGGCUCUGAGAGGAGAAGCUACUUGCCCAAGGCCUGAAGGCCUCUGAAAGAGGAGCAGAGCUCAGGGCACCUGGCCCUCCUUGGUCCCCUCUCUACUCCACGGUGCUGCUACUCAGGGUCAUCUCAAAACUAUGUAAAGGCAGAUGUUGCCAAUCCACAGGCUUCAGGGACUCUUAUCAAGACUCAUCCCAACUUUUAAGGCACACUUUCACACCGCUCACAUUGUGCAUUACAUUUUGGAGUCCUUGUUGGAAGUGAACUUUCCGCCUGUAAGCCUGCCAUUCCAUGUCUAAUAUAUUGGGAUGGCAUCACCUUCUGUACUAUGCAGCAGAAGGAGACUGGCCUGGGAUUCUGGAAACAUGAGAUCCAUUUGCAUAUUAAUCCCCGGCUCGCUGUGUGACCCUGAGCAAGUCUCCUUCACUUUCUGUGCCUCAGUGUCCUUAUUUGAGUAAAAAGGGAAUAAAACUAGAUGAGUGGUUUUCAAACUUUAAAACACUGGAAGCUCUCUUUGAAAACAAAAGAUGAGAAUUGAAAUGGAUGGCACUGGAAGCUGUUCUUGUCUACUGGGGUUUGGAGCUGCCAGGGGACCUGCUCACAUCCACUCCUCACUCAGCCCCUCCCGCCCCUCCCUUCUCCACGCACUGUGACUGACUUCCAUGUGUGAAGGCCUGCAGUUAAUUCUCCUGUGUCUUGAAUGGUUGGGAGAUGAGUUGGUCAGACCCUUAGUGAAAUGAUGUGGGAAGGAACAGGAAUGCUGUGGCUCUGAAGAAGGUAGUAGAACAUCCCACACCUGCUAAUAAGCACAUUUUGCAAACUCAGUUGACUCACCUCAGAUUUGCCUAGUGAAAACUGAAGGGCUGGAUGUAGACCCAGAGAGCAGGGUGGACAGAGCCCAUGCUGGAAGUACUGAGCAUCAGGACUGUAUGGGGCUGGCUUUAGCAUCAUCAUUCUGUGCAAAGACAAAUAAUUAAUGUCACACUGUCUGAAAUUUUCACCAAAACCAAAAAGGCGCAUUAACAUGAUUGUUCCAACCUCAUGGUUUUUCAAGUGUGAGCGCCCAGAGACCUCUUCAGAGGCUAAGAGAGCAUGCGCUGCCACAGCUGUUAGCAUUUGGAGACGUAAUUACAAUGCCCCCACUCCCCGCACCAAACCUGGGUUUUUCUACCGUUUUUGUAGAUGUCAUGAUGUCACGACCCCUGCACCCUGAAAAAAAUAAAUGUUUUUAAGGAC